CGGGUGGUAAUGCCGGAUGCUCCGACUCCUCGCAUGGGGUGUCGGGAAAGAUUUCAUCGGUAUGGGAUGGGGUCGCGUCCUAUCAGGUAGUCGGCGGGGUAACGGCCCACCGAGCCUACGACGGGUAGCCGGCCUGAGAGGGCGACCGGCCACAUUGGGACUGAGAUACGGCCCAGACUCCUACGGGAGGCAGCAGUGGGGAAUAUUGCACAAUGGGCGCAAGCCUGAUGCAGCGACGCCGCGUGCGGGAUGACGGCCUUCGGGUUGUAAACCGCUUUUGAUCGGGAGCAAGCCUUCGGGUGAGUGUACCUUUCGAAUAAGCACCGGCUAACUACGUGCCAGCAGCCGCGGUAAUACGUAGGGUGCAAGCGUUAUCCGGAAUUAUUGGGCGUAAAGGGCUCGUAGGCGGUUCGUCGCGUCCGGUGUGAAAGUCCAUCGCUUAACGGUGGAUCUGCGCCGGGUACGGGCGGGCUGGAGUGCGGUAGGGGAGACUGGAAUUCCCGGUGUAACGGUGGAAUGUGUAGAUAUCGAAAAAAAACACCACC
rnacentral:rRNA from 1 species